ACCAUAUACAUAUGGGCAUAUAUGCAUAAGUAACUGACCAAUUAGAAUUCAUCAUUCUACACUGAGUGCCGGUUUUGUAUUCCCGGCACAAAACAUAUCAACCCUCUGGCAACAAAAUAUCAUACAUUGCGUGGAACUGCACUUUGUUCGUAAAUUAUUCAGAAGCGGUAAGCGUCGUAUAUCAUAAAACGACAGCAUAUACCAAAACUGAUAACAAUGUUUAGAGAUGUGUGAACGUAUUGUAUUGCUUACACCUUAGCGCAUACCGACAAUUCGGCAGAGGCAUACAACAAUGCAAUGUAAGUUUCAAAUGCAUUCGCUCUUGCUACUCAUAACCGGCGCUAUCAGUAUUUCUUAACUCACUCAAUUGAUAAGAUUAAAUGAUUUUGCAGAGAAAAACUCUAAAGAUAUAGUUGUCUCUUACACACAUGCACACACACUGUGUGAAUAAUAAUAUCAACUUACCGGCACUCCUUACAUAUAGGCGUCUCACUCAUUACAAUGCACUCAAUACGUUUAACUCAAACUUUGCAUUGCAUUCUAAAGUUAGUUAUACCCGUAGGCUCUGUCAUCCGUAUAGUAGAACAAUAGUGGAAAUUGUACUACCAUCAUCAUCAUCAUCAUCAUCUGGAUCAUUAUCAUCAUGAGUAUCAUUAUUACGGCUAUAGUUAUUGUCUAAAUCGUUAUUAUCGGUAUAGUAGCUGAAGUUGCUGAAGUUGCUUAAGCUGUAACUACUGCGCACUAGUACACCAACACAUUGUGGGCUUUACUUGUGCUUAACUUUAUACUUUAUACCUUUUCUUAUAUUAUGAUUACUACUUAUAUAUAAAUGUGUAUAUGUGCGUGCGUUAGUGUGCGUACACGUGUACAUGUAUUUGUAGUGUGUAAUAUAUUCACUUGUAUCUCUUGCAUGCCUUGCGCUCGAUUCGUUUGUAUGCAUAGACAAACACAAUGACGAUUAUUUUCGUUAUUUAUUCCCCUCAAAGCAAGCAAGCACAAUGCGAGUGUAUGCGGAUAGAUUGACUGCCUUAAAGAAAUUCCAAUUGUUCGUUUUAUGUCCGAAUCGCAGAAAACCACAAAAACAACAGAAUGCUCGCUUAGCAAGACGUGCGCCCGCUACUCAAUUUCAGUCCGGUUUUGAAUUUGUCGUUGAGCGCAACUUGUGUAUCUUCAGUAGAAAUAAACGAUACAUGUCCCCGAUACAACCCCCGAGUGCUUGCUAUUCAAAUUAAUAUAUUAAAAAAAAAAAAAAACAAAGAGAAACAAAUCAAAAUACAUGUAGAAAAAAAUAAAUAAAUAAAUAAAUAAAAUUUAACUGGAUGGAAAUUUUUCCUACACUUCAGCGUCGGUGCUUGUAUUUAAAAGAAAAUUUUUUUUCUUAACAUAUCGCACGAGAAUUUCAUUUUACUUCCAAGUCAAACUUAAAUGAACGCUUUAAUCAAAGGGUUUUAAUGUUUCUUUCAAAACUUUUCUCCGCGAGAACGAUAACUUGGAUGAAAUUUAAAACUAACUUCUUGCGAAUUGAUGUGUGCCUGAAGACAUUUUUAUAAUAACAUAAAUUCAGUAACAGUAACAGUAACAAGAGUAACAGUAACAGCAACAGCAGCAGCAGGUGAUGGCUAUUUAAUCAGAAGACAUUUACUUAGUACAAUGCAAUAGCAAUAUAA